UACAGAGGGGGCAAGCGUUAUUCGGAAUUAUUGGGCGUAAAGGGCGCGUAGGCGGCCAUUCAAGUGACGGGUGAAAGCCCUCGGCUUAACCGAGGAACUGCCUGUCAGACUGGAUGGCUUGAGACCGGGGAGAGGUGAGUGGAAUUCCCAGUGUAGCGGUGAAAUGCGUAGAUAUUGGGAGGAACACCAGUGGCGAAGGCGACUACCUGGCCUGUUUCUUGACGCUGAGGCGCGAAAGCUAGGGGAGCAAACGGGG
rnacentral:rRNA from 1 species